GAUGAACGCUAGCGAUAGGCCUAACACAUGCAAGUCGAGGGGCAUCACAUGAAGUAGCAAUACGGAUGGUGGCGACCGGCGCACGGGUGAGUAAACACGUAUGCAACCUGCCUUCAACAAGGGGAUAACCCGUUGAAAGACGGACUAAUACCCUAUAACACAGGGGUCCCGCAUGGGAAUAUUUGUUAAAGGACAACCGGUUGAAGAUGGGCAUGCGUUCCAUUAGCUAGUUGGCGGGGUAACGGCCCACCAAGGCAACGAUGGAUAGGGGAACUGAGAGGUUUAUCCCCCACACUGGUACUGAGACACGGACCAGACUCCUACGGGAGGCGGCAGUGAGGAAUAUUGGUCAAUGGACGCAAGUCUGAACCAGCCACGUCGCGUGAAGGAAGACGGCCCUACGGGUUGUAAACUUCUUUUAUACGGGAAUAAAGUGCCCCACGCGUGGGGUUUUGCAUGUACCGUAUGAAUAAGGAUCGGCUAACUCCGUG
rnacentral:rRNA from 1 species